rnacentral:rRNA from 11 species
GCGGCGGACGGGUGAGUAACACGUGGGCAACCUACCUGUAAGACUGGGAUAACUUACGGAAACGUGAGCUAAUACCGGAUAGUUUCACUUCUCGCAUGAGAAGUGAAGGAAAGAUGGCUUUUAGCUAUCACUUACAGAUGGGCCCGCGGCGCAUUAGCUAGUUGGUGGGGUAAAGGCCUACCAAGGCAACGAUGCGUAGCCGACCUGAGAGGGUGAUCGGCCACACUGGGACUGAGACACGGCCCAGACUCCUACGGGAGGCAGCAGUAGGGAAUCUUCCGCAAUGGACGAAAGUCUGACGGAGCAACGCCGCGUGAGCGAAGAAGGUCUUCGGAUCGUAAAGCUCUGUUGUUAGGGAAGAACAAGUACCGGAGUAACUGACGGUACCUUGACGGUACCUAACCAGAAAGCCACGGCUAACUACGUGCCAGCAGCCGCGGUAAUAC